rnacentral:lncRNA from 1 species
UACAAGAUGAACCAGUGUAUUAGUUCGUGUACCUGGUAUUUGGAAAGCAAGGAAAGAAGAUGAAGAUCAGUAGAAGCAGCAGUAGUGUAAAUACACAGCAACCCAACAGCAGCAAUUCGAAUCAGAUUCAAGGCCCAGAAAACUUUGAAGAAAAACCGAACAACUCAAAUAGAACAAACCCAAAGUUUGUAAACCAACUAAACAGUAACAAACCACGCGUUUAUUAAAACCCGAAACUAAACUCGUUUCUCACUUUGUUUUUGUUUUCUUUUUUUAAACUCUAUCACACUCUCUUCAGACUUUCAGAAUGUGUUCCUCUCUCAAAAUAAUCCUCAAAAAUCUUUCAAGUUUUAGUCUAAGUUUUUUCUCUCAAGUCUUGUCUCUUUCAAUGUUCAAGUCCCGUUAAUAUGUCAAGAAUGACUCCUCUUUAUAGCAAGACCCGUGUCUUGAACCUUUAACCCAAAAUAUUCCCCCAAUGGCAUGCUUUGUCCCCACUAAUUAAUGUUUUCUUUAUUUUAACUUUUGUCCCCCAUGCCUACAUUAAAUAAAUACAUCAACCCCAACCCAUUAUAAUUUGUCUCCCAUGCCUAACAUAAACAAAUACAAUAUUCCCCUCCACUACAUUAUGUUUUGUCCCCCAUUAUGUUAAACAAUUAUAUCAAACCUCACCCCAUUAUAUUUUGUCCCUCAUGCUUAAACAUAAAGAAUUACAAUAAUGUUCAAUUACCAAACUACCCCUCCGACCUUAUUGCAAUUACCAUUUUAACCCUGAACGUACUGCAAUUUACCAAACCACCCCCAUCAGCUCUAAACAAUCAAUUAAUCAUAAAUUAACCAAAAUAUAGCCAAGAUGACCAAUUUCUCAACAAUCUUCAACAACAAAUCAUAUGAACACAGAUGAACAACAAAUUCAAAUUAAUGGAAAUAAGUUAACCAUAUCGGGAACCAAUCCUGGUUAACUUAGACCAAAAAUGGAUGAGCAAGGAAACAAUAAUAUUAAUAACACAAACACAUGAUUCAAACUAAAUCAACAAAUCAAAAACACAAACUCACAUUAAAUUACUGGAUUAAAAAUGAACUACAAACAAAGAUGAACAUGAACUAAAUCUAUUUUUAAACAACAAACAUGACGGAUUAAAUGAUUCAAACAACAUUAAUAAUUUCUGGAAAAUACAUAACAACAUGAAACAAAUUGAAGAAAUAAUCAAUUAAAUUUCAAUUUGAAUCUGACAAACAUUAAACUAAUAAACAUGAGUUUGAAAUCAUGAACAAACUAAUAAACAUGAAUUUCAAUUUGAAAUCUGAAAAUUAAAUCAACAAACACAUGAACAAACUAAAAAAUUAAUUCGACGAUAAACAUGAACAAAACAAGAAUCGAGCAUUUAUCGAUUUUAGAUCCGAGAAUAUCAAAACAAAAAUACGUACAAAAAUAAAACUUAAAAUCUACUAACCGAAUCGACACGAAAUAUGUACGGACUGUUUUGACAAACCUCGACCAAAGCUCGACCAAACGACAACGAAGACGAACUAAGAAGCAACUGAAGCAACGCCGAAGCAGUAGCAAUGGCGCGGGCAGCAGCGAACAAAACAGAAGCAGCUGGGGGUGCGUUUGGUUUGUUCGCGCGAAGAAGCUGAAAGCAGCGAUGAAGUCGUAGAAAAGGUUGAAGCAGUAGCAAUGGCGGACUGCUUGGUGGAGCUGGUCAGCCAUGGAUGUCGAGCUCAAGCUCGAGCUUGACGAAGAACGAAGAAGAUGAAGCAAGCAAAGUCGCGUGGUCGCCUGGGCUGUUCAUGGUCGAAAACGAAGCAGCGGCGACCUGUUCGCGUGGGUCAUCGAUGGGGUGGUCGUUGGUUGUUCGUAGCGGGCAGCAGAAGAAGCAGCAAACAUGGCGUUAUGGCCAUGGCGACGGGUCGACGACGAAGACGCCGCCAUGGACGAGCUUUUGAGCUCGGCGUGGAGAAGAUGGGCUUCUUGGUGGUGUGUGUGCGUGAGUGAGGCGUGAGGGAGAAGGGAAGCAGCGAGGGCAGCCAUGGGAGCUGGUCUUGCAGAGGUAAAGGUAGUCAUUGAUGGGGAGGUUGGUGUUUGGAGAGGAUGAAGAGAGGGGGCGGAUGUUUUUUU